rnacentral:rRNA from 1 species
AUUGAACGCUGGCGGCAUGCCUUACACAUGCAAGUCGAACGGCAGCACGGGAGCAAUCCUGGUGGCGAGUGGCGAACGGGUGAGUAAUAUAUCGGAACGUGCCCGGUCGUGGGGGAUAACGUAGCGAAAGCUACGCUAAUACCGCAUACGAUCUACGGAUGAAAGCGGGGGAUCGCAAGACCUCGCGCGAUUGGAGCGGCCGAUAUCAGAUUAGGUAGUUGGUGAGGUAAAGGCUCACCAAGCCGACGAUCUGUAGCUGGUCUGAGAGGACGACCAGCCACACUGGGACUGAGACACGGCCCAGACUCCUACGGGAGGCAGCAGUGGGGGAAUUUUGGACAAUGGGCGCAAGCCUGAUCCAGCAAUGCCGCGUGCAGGAUGAAGGCCUCGG